AGCAGUAAGCGAAGGCAGAUCCUUACGCCGGGAUCGCCCAAUCGCAGAGGUGGGCAGUUUGUAUAAAAGCUCGAGCCUCACGCUUCAUUAGUCUUUUGGGAUCAGGUGGUACCUGGGAAUGUGGAUUUUUGCUGGUUGCAUGCCCCACGAUCUGGGGCGAAAGUGUUCGCCGAGUGAGGCUAGGGAGGUGUCCCAAACCCACAGUCAGCUCGAGCUCGCUGGUCCAGCCUCCGCCUGAACUCCUCUUUGGUCCUCAACGUUCUGUGCGUUUCUUCCCCACGCUCCUGCCAGUUUCGUCGGGGAAGCCUGAAUUUCUAGAUAUACUUCUUCCUACAGGGCUGGGUUCAACAGAAGGAGAAGCAUUAAAAGGACUCAAGAAGGGUGAUUGGCUCCAGCACACCCAGAAUGAGGACAUGACGGCAGAAUCCUCCAGUAACAGCCCCCGUGGCCCCACAGGGAGCUGGAGCUGUCUUGAUCAGCCAUCUUGGCUUCCUGUCAGUUUCCUUCCCUCUUAAGGGAUCAGGCAACUGUAUGCACUGCCCCUGCACUGGCUUCCGCUGAGAACUCUUUCCUAGGUAGUAGGCAAGAUCCCUCCUAAGCUUUGGGCCCUAUAACAGGUCUCUACCCAGCCUGCUAACAUCAGGACUGUCAGUGACUCGGCUGGAGACCUCUAGUGCUAGAUGGAUGGGGACCUGGUCUCUGGCACACCCGACGUGACAGUUAAAUUAGACCCACAGCUGGGGGCCUCUUCCAGUAGGAUAGAUGAAGACCUCAUUAAGGAUAUGUUACUACACAGACAAUUUGGGACAACAGUACUUUUCUUCUAGUCUACACUUGCCAGGUAAUAGAGCCAGCCCCUCACUCCACUGUUCUUGGGUCUCCUGGUCUAGCAGGACUGGCCACAGGAGGACUUGGAUUGCAUGCUUUUCUCAGCUAGCUAUACUGCCCAGACCUUUAGCCAAUCCCAGUGCCCUGGUGGCCAUGGUCUUACAAAACCAUGGCGCCUUAGAUCUCACUGCAAGCCAGGAGGGAACAUUUUACUACAAGCGGGUGCCAGAAGAGAUGAAAGGCCUGCUGGAACAGGCAGCAAACAAACGGGUGAGGAACUUGGCUGGUGAUGACCCCAUGCCUGCCUUGGCUCUUGCCUUUUCUUGGCCCCACUGUGACUACCCUUUUGGCCCUACUUUUUGGACCAUGCUUACUUAAAAUACUUCAUUUCAAAUCAUCUCCAGCAACUUCAAAAUAAAAUCUGUUGCUGUGUGGUUGGAAGCCCACCUUGGGGUCAGAUUAUCUAGAUUUUGAACAGAACAGAUAGAGACCUCUACUCUGGCUAGACUGGCCAGUGCCCCCAUACAGCAGGAAAAACCUACAGAAAAUAGACAUCUCAGCUCACUUCCCCAAGUAUGGAGUCUUGGGAAGGUGAGUGGUUAGGCGGACUCACCUUGGCUUAUUAACAGAAGUACCAGUUAGUCAGCGGACAGAGACCAAAUUGGAAAGCCCAUCAAGUGUGUGGGUCCUUGUCUGCCAGUUUAAAUCUUCACUAGAGGCAGAGGGACAGUGAAAAGGAACUCUUAUAUUCAGACAAGGGAAAACACUAUAAAGCAGGGAGCCCUUCUCCAGGUCAAGACAGCGCCAGCCCCUGGUCAGACUGUUACUGGAAGACUUGUCAUUAAUUCAGUGGUGCUAGUCAGCCUCUAUUGUGGACUCUUGCCUCCUGUGGAGCUCAGCCCUAAAACUUUGGUGGGAAAGA